rnacentral:rRNA from 1 species
UACUAGCGGUCCGAGUAGCAGCCACUUUUAUUGGGUCUAAAACAUCCGUAGCUUGUCUCGUAAGUCUCUUGUGAAAUCUGGCAUCUCAAGUGUCAGGCGUGCAAGAGAUACUGCAAGACUAGAGACCGGGAGACGUAAGGAGUACGGUUAGGGUAGCGGUAAAAUGCGUUGAUCCUUUCUGGACUAACGAUAGCGAAGGCACCUUACGAGCACGGAUCUGACAGUCAGGGAUGAAGGCUAGGGGCGCAAAACGGAUUAGAUACCCCCGUA